rnacentral:misc_RNA from 1 species
AUUUGGAGGUAUCGAAAUGAUAUUGUUCGGGAGGGCAGGCGCACCCCUGUGGCUGAUGUGGUUAAUAUGGCGUCUCUUUUCCUUUCGAAGUGGCAAAAUGCUCAGGCUAAGGAAGCUGUGCCGUGUUCUCAGACUCGUCAGAUUGUGCAUUCGGAGGGUAUGACUUCCUGGUCCAAACCAGUAGCUAAUUGUGUUAAAUGUAAUAGUGAUGCGGCAGUUUUUCAAGGCUGUGAU